GAACCUGAUGUCAAAGUGAUUUUUGAUUCUUUCGAUGACUCUCGGACUAUCGAAGAUUUAUCAACACGCAAACAAACUUUUAAACCUAGUGUGAUAAAAAGGAACGAACCUGAUGUCAAAGUGAUUUUUGAUUCUUUCGAUGACUCUCGGACUAUCGAAG